rnacentral:rRNA from 1 species
GACAGAGGCCCCAAGCGUUAGGCGGAAUCACUGGGCUUAAAGCGUGUGUAGGCGGACGCCUAAGUGUCUUGUGAAAUCCCCCGGCUCACCCGGGGAACUGCUUGGUAUACUGGUUGUCUUGGGCCAUCUAGGGGCUACCGGAACAAACGGUGGAGCGGUGAAAUGCGUAGAUAUCGUUUGGAACGCCAAUGGUGAAAACAGGUAGCUGGGGAUGUGCCGACGCUGAGACACGAAAGCCAGGGGAGCGAACGGG